rnacentral:rRNA from 1 species
GGAUGAGCUGUGGGUAGGGGUGAAAGGCCAAUCAAACUGGGAAAUAGCUCGUACUCCCCGAAAUGCUUUUAGGAGCAGCGUGUGGCAUGAGUGUAUAAGAGGUAGAGCUACUGGUUGGGCUAGGGGGAGUCACAUCCUACCAAACCCUAUCAAACUCCGAAUGCUUAUACAUGUUUCCACGCAGUGAGGGUAUGGGUGCUAAGGUCCAUAUCCAAGAGGGAAAGAACCCAGAGCAUCAGCUAAGGUCCCCAAGUGUAUACUAAGUUGAGAAAAUGUGGUGUGAUUGCUUAGACAGCCAGGAUGUUGGCUUGGAAGCAGCCAUUCAUUUAAAGAGUGCGUAACAGCUCACUGGUCGAGCGAUCGCGCGCAGAUAAUGAUCGGGCAUCAAGUAUACCACCGAAGCUAUGCCUUGUACUCUGUACAGGGGUAGGGGAGCAUUCCAAUUGCGGCGAAGUUUUGCCGUAAGGCAUUGUGGAGCGAUUGGAAAAGAAAAUGUAGGCAUAAGUAACGAUAAUGAAGAUGAGAAAUCUUCACACCGCAAGACUAAGGUUUCCACAGCUAUGUUAAUCAUCUGUGGGUUAGCCGGGACCUAACGCGUACCCGAAAGGGGAAGUGGAUGGCAAUCAGGUUAAUAUUCCUGAGCCAGUCAGGUAGUGACGGAGAGACGUGGCAGCUACGGGGUGACGGAAGUCCCCGUUGAGCCUAGGCGCUUGCGCCGAAGCGAAGUUGUAAAAUCUCUUCCAAGAAAAGCUCUGACAUAGCCCGUACCGUAAACCGACACAGGUAGUCGAGGAGAGUAUCCUAAGGUGCUCGAGUGAUCCGUGGUUAAGGAACUAGGCAAAUUAGCCCUGUAACUUCGGGAGAAAGGGCCCCCGCUUCGGCGGGGCGCAGUGAAAUGGCCCAGGCGACUGUUUAGCAAAAACACAGGACUAUGCUAAGUUGAAAGACGCAGUAUAUGGUCUGACACCUGCCCGGUGCUGGAAGGUUAAGUGGAGAUGUCAUCUUCGGAGAAGCAUUGAAAUGAAGCCCCAGUAAACGGCGGCCGUAACUAUAACGGUCCUAAGGUAGCGAAAUUCCUUGUCGGGUAA